rnacentral:rRNA from 1 species
GACGAACGCUGGCGGCGUGCUUAACACAUGCCAGUCGAACGAAAAUACCAAGCUUGCUUGGUUGAUUAGUGGCGAACGGGUGAGUAACACGUGAGUAACCUGCCCCUUACUUUCCUGGAUAACUGCUCGAAUGGGUAGCUAAUACGGGAUAUUCUGACCAGCCUGCAUGGGUUGGUUUGGAAAGGUUGUUUUUCUGGUAAGGGAUGGGCUCGCGGCCUAUCAGCUUGUUGGUGGGGUGAUGGCCUACCAAGGCUUUGACGGGUAGCCGGCCUGAGAGGGUGGACGGUCACACUGGGACUGAGAUACGGCCCAGACUCCUACGGGAGGCAGCAGUGGGGAAUAUUGCACAAUGGGCGCAAGCCUGAUGCAGCGACGCCGCGUGAGGGAUGAAGGCCUUCGGGUUGUAAACCUCUUUCGUCAGGGAACAAGGCACUGCUUUUUUGGUGGUGUUGAGGGUACCUGGAUAAGAAGCGCCGGCUAACUACGUG